UACGGAGGGUGCAAGCGUUGUUCGGAAUCACUGGGCGUAAAGCGCGUGUAGGCGGUCGAUUAAGUCCGGUGUGAAAGCCCGGGGCUUACCCCCGGAAGUGCGCUGGAAACUAGUCGACUAGAGUAUGGGAGAGGGAAGUGGAAUUCCUGGUGUAGCGGUGAAAUGCGUAGAUAUCAGGAGGAACACCGGCGGCGAAGGCGGCUUCCUGGACCAAUACUGACGCUAAGACGCGAAAGCGUGGGGAGCAAACAGG
rnacentral:rRNA from 1 species